AGAAGGGAAAGGAAAAGAAGAAAAAAAAAAAAUCUAUUAAAGAAUUCCCAGGACUUCCCUGGUGGUGCAGUGGUUAAGAAUCUGCCUGCCAAUGCAGGGGACACAGGCUCGAGCCCUGGUCUGGGAAGAUCCCACAUGCCGCGGAGCAACUAAGCCCGUGCGCCACAACUACGGAGCCUGCACCCUAGAGCCCGCGAGCCGCAACUACUGAAGCCCACGCACCUAGAGCCCAUGCUCUGCAACAAGAGAAGCCAAUGCAAUGAGAAGCCUGUGCACAGCAACGAAGACCCAACGCAGCCAAAAAAAAAAAAAAAAGGAACUCCCUUCCCCCUCUUCCCUGAAGAAACUCCGACAAAACAGCAGAAAAACUAAAGCCUGACUGCCUUUGGACUUGAACUGCAACUUGCCUGAGUUUCCAGCUUGCCAGCCUCCUUCAUCAGAUUUUGGACUCACCAAACCUCCACAAUCAUACCCCUUCCUCUGCUACUCGGAAAUAAAUCAGGCUCCAGGAGGAGUCCGACCUCCAGUCCUGCUACUCAAGUCCAUGGAUAAGAGGAGACACACACCUUUUCUUCAAGCCGUGUGGCUGACAGGGUCUUGGUUCUCGGGCCUGGUGUCAGGCAUGAACCUCCAAGGUGGGAGAGCCGAGUUCAGGACAUCGCACCACUACAGGCCUUCCAGGCCCAUGUACUAUCAAUCGGCGAGAGCUCUCCCAGAGAUCUCCAGCUCAACACUGAGACCCAGCUCCACCCAACGGCCAGCAAGCUCCAGUGCUGGACACCCCAUGCCAAACAACUAGCAAGACAGGAACACAACCCCACGCAUUAGCAGAGAGGCUGCCUAAAAUCAUACUAAGUUCACAGACACUCCAAAAUACACCACCAGAUAGACAAGAUCCAGUCCCACCCGCCAGAACACAGGCACCAGUCCCCUCCACCAGGAAGCCUACACAAGCCACUGAACCAACAUCACCCACUGGGGGCAGACACCAAAAACAAUGGGAAAGAUGAAGCUGCAGCCUGUGAAAAGGAGACCCCAAACACAGUAAGGUAAACAAAAUGAGAAGAGAGAGAAAUGUGCAACAGAUGAAGGAGCAAGGUAAAAAUCCACCAGACCAAACAAAUGAAGAGGAAAUAGGCAGUCUACCUGAAAAAGAACUCAGAGUAAUGAUAGUAAAUUAAAAAUUCUCUAGAAGGAAUCAAUAGCAGAAUAAC